CCUGAGAAAUAGCUACCACUUCUACGGAGGGCAGCAGGCGCGCAAAUUGCCCAAUGUCAAAAAAAAACGAUGAGGCAGCGAAAAGAAAUAGAGCCGGCAGUGCCAAUGGCAUUGCCGUUUUCAAUGGGGGAUAUCUAAACCCAUCCAAAAUCGAGUAUCAAUUGGAGGACAAGUCUGGUGCCAGCACCCGCGGUAAUUCCAGCUCCAAAAGCGUAUAUUAAUGCUGUUGCUGUUAAAGGNUUCGA
rnacentral:rRNA from 1 species